ACGUGGGAAGAGGGGACUGGGAGGAGCCGGGCCUCCCGAGCCCUGGGUCGGAGGGCAGAUCAAUGGAAUCUCCCCCUUCCCCAGUCACGUGCCAGCCCACAGCUGUCCAGGGCAGGGCUUUGGGUGGGAACUCAGACUGGCGUCACACAGGAUGAACCAGCUGUGUGGACCCUGCGCACGACAACUCCCCGACUGCAUCUGUUCAGUAAGCUUAGUCCCUGAAGGACCCCCUGAACCAACCCAAGGCCGCGCCAUCUUGGAACUCUCCUCUCCAAAUCAUCACUCGCCACCAGCAAAUCCUUGUAGCGUGGAACCAAUGAGGUGGUGCAUCGGCAGGCAGCUGGGGGCCUGACAGCCUAUAGCAACAGAGGAGUGGAAGGAAGGGAAGACGGAGGAGUGGGGAGACGGUGCCAUGUGUAAAAGCACUUGGUGCUCUAGCAGAAGGCCUGGGUUCAGUUCCCAGCACCCGCGUGGAGGCUCACAGGUAUAACUCCAGUUCCAGGCAUCCGAUGCCCUCCUCCAGCCCCCAAGGGCACCAGGCACUCGUGCAGUGCAGACAUAACGCAGGUGAAACAAUCAUACACAUGGAGAUAACUGAAGCAACCAAGCGCCUCUGCAUCAGCUCCUGCUUCUUGACCUGCUGGAGUUCCAGUCCUGACUUCCUUUGGUGAUGAACAGCAAUGUGGAAGUGUGAGCUGAAUAAACCCUUUCCUCCCCAA